rnacentral:hammerhead_ribozyme from 1 species
UUCCAGUUGAGGAGUCUUAAGUAGAACGAAAUGCGCGUCCUGGAU